CAGCAGCCACGGUAAUACGUAGGGUGCAAGCGUUAAUCGGAAUUACUGGGCGUAAAGCGUGCGCAGGCGGUUUGUUAAGACAGAUGUGAAAUCCCCGGGCUCAACCUGGGAACUGCAUUUGUGACUGGCAAGCUAGAGUGUGGCAGAGGGGGGUGGAAUUCCGCGUGUAGCAGUGAAAUGCGCAGAUAUGCGGAGGAACACCGAUGGCGAAGGCAGCCCCCUGGGCCAACACUGACGCUCAUGCACGAAAGCGUGGGGAGCAAACAGGAUUAGAUACCCCUGUAGUCCCUGUCUCUUAUAC
rnacentral:rRNA from 1 species